AGUCCUGUAGUGAAAUUCAUGGUGAGUUGCAAGCUCAUUGAUGUGCGUUAAUGCGUGCCAGGGCUU
rnacentral:tRNA from 1 species